ACAUGCAGAAGAGGUGCAUUUCUCAGGCAGUUAUCAGGCGGAGCCCCACUCCUAAGCGUGAUAACCAGGGGAGACAAUGCCGAGGUGGCGUAAGAUCGGGGUCGAUACGCUGCCGGCCUUGAAGGCUGAAUCCUUCAGGCUGUCACUUGUCAUCCAUAUGGACAGACAGGUGGAGCGCUUCUGGCAGA
rnacentral:ncRNA from 2 species